GCCCUCGUAGCUCAGUGGAUAGAGCAACCGCCUUCUAAGCGGUUGGCCGUUGGUUCGAUCCCAACCGGGGGUA
rnacentral:tRNA from 1 species